GGGCGUGCAGCCGGGCUGCCUCGUCUGGCUCGGAGCGGGCCACGUGCUUCAGCAGGCGAGGAGUUACCUGUCAAAGGUCAUUCCCGACAGCUGCAGAAUCUCCCAUUGAGGCACCGUGUGUCAAGAGCGACUUCUUUUUAAUUAAAAACUUAAUUCCAAUAAGUCACCAUAGCACCCUUCCUCAUGGAAUCCCUGUAACUCUGGGAAUCCCAGCACUUCCUCCGGACUCCCCAUGGAUCAAAGCACCGUGUCAAGGAGGGAUUGUCGUCAAAUCCCUGGGAUCACAGGUGGAGUAUGAAGAGAGUUCAAAGAGUCAAACUCCAAGAAAAUGCUAUUUAUCCUUUGGUCUCCACUGUCACUUCCCAAUCAUUUCCUGACUCAUUACAAUCUGGCUCCAUUCUCAUCAUUUAAUGGAAACUGCUCUCUCUAAAGUUACCACUGAUGAUGGAAUACUAUUGUGCUAAAAGGAAUGAUGAA